rnacentral:rRNA from 1 species
AUACGGAGGACGCGAGCGUUAUCCGGAUUCAUUGGGUUUAAAGGGUGCGCAGGCGGCCGUGCAAGUCAGCGGUGAAAGCCCGGGGCUCAACCCCGGAAGUGCCGUUGAUACUGCAUGGCUGGAAUGCGGUCGAGGCGGGCGGAACGUGGCGGGUAGCGGGGAAAUGCGUAGAGAUGCCACAGAACGCCGAUAGCGGAGGCAGCUCGCCAGGCCUGCAUGGACGCUCGGGCACGAAAGCGUGGGGAUCGAACAGGAUUAGAUACCCUGGUAGUCCACGCCGUAAACGAUGGGCGCUCGUCGUCGGCGGCAGACAGUCGGCGGCCAAGCGAAAGCGAUAAGCGCCCCACCUGGGGAGUACGGUCGCAAGGCUGAAACUCAAAUGAAUUGGCGGG